rnacentral:rRNA from 1 species
GUUGUAUGGUUAAGUGACUAAGCGUACACGGUGGAUGCCUUGGCAGUUGGAGGCGAUGAAGGACGUAUUAACUUGCGAUAAGCCUAGUCAAGCUAGUAAAAAGCGCUUGAGACUAGGAUUUCCGAAUGGGGAAACCCACCUGCUUGCAGGUAUCUUACACUGAAUAC